rnacentral:tRNA from 1 species
GUGGAGUUAGCGAAGUGGUCAAACGUGACCGACUCAAAAUCGGUUCCUUAGGGUUCAAGGGUUCGAACCCCUUACUCUACA